AGAGUUUGAUCCUGGCUCAGGACGAACGCUGGCGGCGUGCUUAACACAUGCAAGUCGAACGGUAAGGCCCCAGCUUGCUGGGGUACACGAGUGGCGAACGGGUGAGUAACACGUGGGUGACCUGCCCCGCACUUCGGGAUAAGCCUGGGAAACUGGGUCUAAUACCGGAUAGGACCGCACCGUGAGGGUGUGGUGGAAAGUUUUUCGGUGUGGGAUGGGCCCGCGGCCUAUCAGCUUGUUGGUGGGGUAAUGGCCUACCAAGGCGGCGACGGGUAGCCGGCCUGAGAGGGUGGACGGCCACAUUGGGACUGAGACACGGCCCAGACUCCUACGGGAGGCAGCAGUGGGGAAUAUUGCACAAUGGGCGGAAGCCUGAUGCAGCGACGCCGCGUGGGGGAUGACGGCCUUCGGGUUGUAAACUCCUUUCACCAUCGACGAAGGUUUUCUGACGGUAGAUGGAGAAGAAGCACCGGCUAACUACGUGCCAGCAGCCGCGGUAAUACGUAGGGUGCGAGCGUUGUCCGGAAUUACUGGGCGUAAAGAGCUCGUAGGUGGUUUGUCGCGUCGUCUGUGAAAUUCCGGGGCUUAACUCCGGGCGUGCAGGCGAUACGGGCAUAACUUGAGUACUGUAGGGGAGACUGGAAUUCCUGGUGUAGCGGUGAAAUGCGCAGAUAUCAGGAGGAACACCGGUGGCGAAGGCGGGUCUCUGGGCAGUAACUGACGCUGAGGAGCGAAAGCAUGGGUAGCGAACAGGAUUAGAUACCCUGGUAGUCCAUGCCGUAAACGGUGGGCGCUAGGUGUAGGGGUCUUCCACGACUUCUGUGCCGUAGCUAACGCAUUAAGCGCCCCGCCUGGGGAGUA
rnacentral:rRNA from 1 species